CACCAAAUCAAUAUGGAGACCAUCGAAAAAUUUUGAAUCUAAAACCCAACACAUUAUGGAGAUUUACAACAUACUGGUACAUAUUUCCUCUAUAGAGAUACCUUAAUAACAAAGGUCAGAUCAAGAGAGAUGUAAGAUGUCUGAUAUGUCAGGAACUGUAUUCUGGGUGGUGCUGGGAGUAGCCCUCUUCUUGGGCAGCUUUGGAGCAGUAGGAGGAAUAUGCCUGGCAUUGUACAUUGUCUCUUUCAUCGUUGGGGGUGCCAGUAUAAUAUACUACUAUGGGAAGAGCAGAUCUGAAACAACACUAAUGAAUAAACCAAGUAGAGUUCCAAAGACUAAAGUAGGCCCAGGAAAAAUUAUCGAUGAUGUGACCCAUAUACAGCGGCAUUACAGAACGGACAAACGUAUGACAGGGGCAAGUGCAAUAGAUGAAGUAUUACAAGAGAUUUUAGAUUUCACAUAUCGGGACUAUAUUCAUAUAUGGUAUAAAAAAAUCAGCGAUGAUGGGAAGUUCCGGUAUGACAUGCGACUCACUUUACAAAAAGUCGUUAUAGCAUUUUCUGAAAGAUGUAAAGAGGUUGACUGGGUGCCAUAUUGUACAACAAAUUUAGUAGAUGACUUUGCAUCACAUUUACGUUUAUUCCGACGAGCGCAAGAAAAAGUGCGAAAGGAAGCUAAAAAAGAUGAGAGUAAAGUCCCACCUGAUUUGACAUCAGUAUUCUUUGAUCUUGAGGUAGAGAUGGAAAACAACUUAUGUAGAGAUACUAUUUGUACUGACCCAUUCAAAGAAAGAGAAUAUCUCCAAGAACUAAGUGAUGUUUUGCUGUAUUUACUUCUGCCUCCUGAGGACUUCCACAACAAACCUUUCAAACACAUAGUGCGUGAAUGUCUAGUCAAUGGUGUGUUCCUUCCCGUCAUUAACCUCAUGUCUGAUCCAGACUACAUCAACCAGCUUAUUAUCUGGAUGUGUCUGGAUACCCCUAUUAAUAAUGAUACAUUUGUGCUAGCGAUAAAACUCUCAGACAGUUUAGAUGAACUCCAAGCUGUCCGAGAAAAGCUUGACAUGGAUAUCGCCAGAUGGCGCUCAAAGGACACAGGAGGCGAGGAUGAUACAUUCGUCAAGCAACAGCUUAGCAGUCUUGUAUUUGUAAAAAGUCAAUGUGAAUUGAGAAUUGCGAGACUCCAGGCGGGCCUGGGGUACGAUGAUGGUACAGCUAAUGGGGGCCUAGAUGUACAAAAACUAUUAACCCCAGGUCAGAAGCUCUACUCCUUACCCUUUGAUGUGAUAUUGAAUAACAAUGUAGCCCUGUCCUACUUUAUAGAAUUCAUGACAGGCCUAGGUUUCCAGAAUUAUUUAUUUUUCUAUUUAAAUGUUGAGGGAUUCAGAGUGUCUGCAGAACAGCAGAUUAAUGCAGCGCAACUGCAAAAAUUGGCGGACUCUUCCAGUCCCGGCCCCGAUCUAGAGAUGAUUAGUGCUGCCGCCUAUAGUAUUUAUGAACAAUAUUUAUCAGAAAAGGCUUCACCGCGGGUUCGGGUUGAGGAGAGUUCAUUAAAGAGGACUUUACAAGCCAUACAAAAAGAGAAUAUAACUGAAGAAAUAUUUGACCCUAUACAGGCACAGGUUUACCACCUGUUGCAAGAGAAUAAAUUCUAUGGUGCUUUCAAGAAAAGCUCUAGUUACAUUAAACUGUUAGCUGAGCUGGAUUUGUUACGGGACGUCCCAUCUGACGAUGAGAGCUCAAUACCUGAUGACGAGACCAUGUCUUCCCCAUCUAGUUCCAACCAUGCCUCUACAGAGGAUCUCUCUAAUAACUGUGAGAGCUGGAGCGAUUUAAUUGUCACUGCAAAGAUAUCUCAAACAGGUAUUGUAAAGGAGCAGGGUAGAGCUUAUGCAGUCUAUGCUAUAACAGUCACCAAAACACACAGAGAUGGUCUUGAGGAUGUGGUCGAUGUAUAUAGAAGAUACAGCGAUUUUCACGACCUUCAUAUGACCAUUAAAGAAAAAUAUGAGGCAUUGGGCACAUUGAGUCUCCCAAGUAAGAAAGCCUUCAACAAUAUGAAUAAGGACUUUUUAGAGAAAAGGCGAAUAGCAUUAGAUAAUUAUUUACAAACCCUUCAAGACCCUGGGGUGCAGGCCAAUUACCCUGGUUUACAAGAAUUGCUCUACCCAUUCUUACAACCUGGGCCAUGGGAAAAAGGCAAAAGCGAGAUGGCAAGAAAGAUGGACACAUUUGUGAACCCGCUGAAGACAUCUGUAAAGACAGUUGGCAAUGCUGUCAAGUCUGUGCCUGAUAAUCUGGUAGAUGGUGUAGCAAAGGUAUCUGGGGGAAUCAAGGGUAUCCCAGGAAAUAUGGUGGAUGGGAUAUCUAAAGUUUUCAAUAUUAAAAAUAACAUUAAGGCUGAGAUGCUGGACAGUGGUAAAGUAGGUGCAGUCUUGGAUGUUGAGGAAGAAGACAACAUCCCAAUGAGGAUCAUGUUAUUGUUGAUGGACGAAGUGUUUGACUUGAAGAACAUGAACCAAUGGCUUCAGAAGAGAAUCAUAGCCAUCCUGAGGCAAAUCAUCAAAGCUGCAUUUGGAGACAUGAUUAACAAAAAAAUUGUGGACCAUGUAGAAUGGGUCACCUCUGCUGAACAGUGUGCUGAAAAUCUGAAAACAUUUAGGGACUCCUUCUGGCCCUGUGGUUGCCUGGCUGAACCAAGAACAGAGAGGGACCAGAACACACAAAGGAGAACACGGGUGGUUUGUAGAGCCAAACUCUUGGCCAGCUUAUCAGAUGACUUGAGACAUUUAAUUGGGACAGAAACAACACGUAGGGGUGUCAUCCGUAUCUUCCAUCUAUUCCAGCAACGUACCCUUAACAAAAGACUAGUAUAUGUCCUUCUUGAGGGCAUGUUAGAAACAUUAUUCACUGAAAACAAAUUCCAGGAGAUAUUCCUGAAAGUGCAUUCUAAGUCACCAAGGGUGAAACCCCACUUAGAAAGACGCUCGAAUACAUCUAAAGGAACACAGAACAGGCGAAAAAAGCGGUGACGUGAGUUUGUGUGAUUGCGAUUAGAAUUUUGUCAUUGGGGCCAUGUUGUAGCAAUGGCUAAGUCACUGCCAUACAGCUGUAGAUAAAUCAGAUUUAGCUGUACCUUAAUUUGUAGCUCAUCAACAGAUAGCUGUAGCUCAUCAAAAUUAUAGAUGGAGCUCAUCAACAAAAGCAAAAUAGCUGCAUCUAAGCAACAAUACCUGUAGCUCAUCAAAAUUACUUGUAGCUCAU
rnacentral:misc_RNA from 1 species